AAUGAACGCUGGCGGCAUGCCUAACACAUGCAAGUCGAACGAAGGCUUCGGCCUUAGUGGCGCACGGGUGCGUAACGCGUGGGAAUCUGCCCUCAGGUUCGGAAUAACAGCGGGAAAUUGCUGCUAAUACCGAAUGAUAUCGCGAGAUCAAAGAUUUAUCGCCUGUGGAUGAGCCCGCGUAGGAUUAGCUAGUUGGUGUGGUAAAGGCGCACCAAGGCGACGAUCCUUAGCUGGUCUGAGAGGAUGAUCAGCCACACUGGGACUGAGACACGGCCCAGACUCCUACGGGAGGCAGCAGUGGGGAAUAUUGGACAAUGGGCGAAAGCCUGAUCCAGCAAUGCCGCGUGAGUGAUGAAGGCCUUAGGGUUGUAAAGCUCUUUUACCCGGGAUGAUAAUGACAGUACCGGGAGAAUAAGCUCCGGCUAACUCCGUGCCAGCCGCCGCCGUAA
rnacentral:rRNA from 1 species